UACGGGGGGAGCAAGCGUUGUUCGGAAUGACUGGGCGUAAAGGGCGCGUAGGCGGCUCGUGAAGUCGGGUGUGAAAGCCCGGGGCUCAACCCCGGAACGGCAUCCGAUACUGGCGGGCUUGAGACCGGGAGAGGAGGGUGGAAUACCCAGUGUAGAGGUGAAAUUCGUAGAUAUUAGGAAGAACACCGGUGGCGAAGGCGGCCCACUGGUCCGGUACUGACGCUGAGGUGCGAAAGCGUGGGGAGGCAAACAGGA
rnacentral:rRNA from 1 species